CGACUACUCCCUCUGUCCCAAAUUUCUUGUCUUAGAUUUGUCUAGAUACGGAUGUAUCUAAUACUAAAAUGUGACUUGAUACAUCCGUAUCUAGACAAAUCUCGGACAAGAAUUUUGGGGCGGAGGGAGUACUUU
rnacentral:pre_miRNA from 1 species